CACGUGAGUCAAUCACCAUGAACAAUGUAUGCAUUCUGUGCCACUUGCAGUGCAUAAAGAAUUUUCCUUCUCUAAAAAAAUACGGGAUCCAUUAGAUUGAGAUCUCUAGCACCUGCCAUGGUCUCAAAGCUGUAGCAGGGUAGGAAACUAGUUUUGGUUGGAACCACUUUAUCUGAUUUUAAUUAUCUGAAUUUGAUUUAAGAAUCUCAUUUAUUUCUUUCAAUAGGUUGG
rnacentral:lncRNA from 1 species